GACGAACGCUGGCGGCGUGCCUAAUACAUGCAAGUAGGACGCACAGUUUAUACCGUAGCUUGCUACACCAUAGACUGUGAGUUGCGAACGGGUGAGUAACGCGUAGGUAACCUGCCUGGUAGCGGGGGAUAACUAUUGGAAACGAUAGCUAAUACCGCAUAAUAUUAAUUAUUGCAUGAUAAUUAAUUGAAAGGUGCAAUUGCACCACUACCAGAUGGACCUGCGUUGUAUUAGCUAGUAGGUGAGGUAACGGCUCACCUAGGCGACGAUACAUAGCCGAACUGAGAGGGUGAUCGGCCACACUGGGACUGAGACACGGCCCAGACUCCUACGGGAGGCAGCAGUAGGGAAUCUUCGGCAAUGGACGAAAGUCUGACCGAGCAACGCCGCGUGAGUGAAGAAGGGUUUCGGAUCGUAAAGCUCUGUUGUAAGAGAAGAACGGGUGUGAGAGUGGAAAGUUCACACUGUGACGGUAUCUUACCAGAAAGGGACGGCUAACUACGUG
rnacentral:rRNA from 1 species